rnacentral:lncRNA from 1 species
AGGAGAAUGAGAUUCCGGAGUCUGAUGAUGAGGAGGAGGAUGAUGAUGAUGAGGAGGAAGAGGAGGGGGAUGAUGGAGAUGAUGGUGAGGAGAGGAGAAAUGUGAUUAGCAAUGGACGUAGUAGUGAAGUGGUUGUGGAGGUUGAUGAAGAAGAGAGCGGAGCUGAUGAUGAUGAUGGAGAUGUGAUGAGGAAUGGGCGCGGUGAAGGGGUUGAUGAAGAAGAGAGCGGAGCUGAUGAUGACGACAGAGAUGAGAGGCCUGAAGUGAUGGGCAAUGGGCACAGUGAAGGGGCUGAUGAAGAAGAGAGCGGAGCUGAUGAUGAGGGAGAAGAUGGUGAGGAGAGGCCAAAUGUGAUGAGAAAUGGGCGGAAUGAAGGGGUUGUGGAGGGUGAUGAAGAAGAGAGCGGAGCUGAUGACGACGACGGAGAUGAGAGGCCUGAAGUGAUGAGCAAUGGGCAUAGUGAAGGGGUUGAUGAGGAAGAGAGCGGAGCCGAUGAUGAUGAUGAUGGUGAGGAGAGGCCAAAUGUGAUGAGCAAUGGGCGGAAUGAAGAGGUUGUGGAGGGUGAUGAAGAGGAGAGCGGAGCUGAUGAUGAUGAUGGAGAUGAUGGUGAGGAGAGGCCAGAUGUGAUGAGCAAUAGGCACGGUGAAGGGGUUGUGGAGGGUGAUGAAGAGGAGAGCGGGGCUGAUGAUGACGAAGGAGAUGAUCCAGAGAUUGAUGCUGAUGGCGAAGUGACGGUUACGGGAAGACAGUCCAAUGAGUUGCGAGAUGAACAUCUGAAUAUGGAUGAAGAAGAU